CAUUUUCUUAUUUAUGUCAAAUUUUGCAACAAAUUUUUUUGCCUUACCAAUCAUGCGGUGUGGGUGCUCACCGGCGCUGGAGCUGAGGUUCUGCGAAUUCUUGUUUAGGGAUCCGAUGGAGAGCUCGGAUAUGGCAUCGCAGCCGUUGAGCGACAGGGUCACGCCGAAGCUCCUCCUCGGCUGCACGGAUUGCGUCACUGUCAUGCCGGGCGAGCCGCAGACUGGAUCCGGAAAGACAUAUACGACGGGUACCAAUUAUACUGGUGAAGCUGAUCGUGGAGGAAUAAUUGCACCUCUCAUGGAGAUGAUAUUCAGGAAAUCUGAUGCGAUGAACCGUCAUACAGAGUUCUUAAUUAGGGUAUCCUUCAUCGAGAUAUUCAAGGAGGAAGUAUUUGAUUUACUUGAUGAUCAUGGGUCUGUUGCAAAAGUGGCAGCGCCUGCUAGAGUGCCUAUUCAGAUUCGACAAAACUGCAAAUGGAAGCAUUACACUUGAUAGCGUGAUGGAGGCUAAGGUCAAGUCAAAAGAAGAUAUGGGCCAUAUGGCCAUGCACUUGGCACGAGGAUCUUCGUCACGCGCAACUGAAAGUACAAACAUACAUAGCCAGGCAAG
rnacentral:rRNA from 1 species